GUUCUCGUGGUGCAGUGGGCAGCACUGUUGCCUCACAGCAAAAAAUGGCCGUGGGUUUGAAUCCAGCCUGGAACC